rfam:Xenopus tropicalis strain Nigerian Chr06_contig_3278, whole genome shotgun sequence.
GGUUUCAUAGUGUAGUGGUCAUCACAUCUGCUUUACACGCAGAAGGUCCUGGGUUCAAUCCCCAGUGAAGCCA